CUUUUUCUCUCAGUAAUAUCAGGUCUACAAAUAUUUCUCUUACCGUAGAAGACCAGGACUCUAAAAAAAUUCUUAAUGUUCAACACAAUGGGAGCAAAUUUUCUAUCAUGAACAUCACUGACAAGGAAAUCGCUAUUUCGAAUGAAAACAACACAUUCCGUGUGCUUUAUAGUGACACUAAUUGCCUUAUUCUGGCCGACACGUUAAAAGCAGCAGGUGAGGAUCACGAAGGGCUUCGCUGCUGGAUGUGGCUUCCAGAAUCUCGUAUACAAAAGCCGCCAAAAUGUUGCCUGUUCGUUUUCGAACUUCUGUGCUCCUACUUCGAUGAAACUGUUGAAGUUUCUGACAAAUCGUGUCUUAAUACCACAGAAAGAGGCUCCAAAUCUGGCUGAGAUCCUACGACACAUACACUGUAUCAGAAGUGGUGACGGGAAGGAAUGAAUUGCCGCGUAUGAUUUUCAUUAGUGAGCAAAGAAAGUUUUUGGUUGCGGAAACCGUACAGCUUCAAGAUCAUUCCAGUGGACAUAUAGAAGCUUGAACCCCAUUAUUUAAAGAAAAUCCACGGAACAAUACUGGCAAUAAAAUUUCAUUAUGGUUUUUCAGUGGUAAACGCAU
rnacentral:lncRNA from 1 species